rnacentral:rRNA from 1 species
CCUACGGGUGGCAGCAGUGAGGAAUAUUGGUCAAUGGACGAGAGUCUGAACCAGCCAAGUCGCGUGAAGGAUGACUGCCCUAUGGGUUGUAAACUUCUUUUAUAUGGGAAUAAAAUGUUCCACGUGUGGGAUUUUGUAUGUACCAUAUGAAUAAGGAUCGGCUAACUCCGUGCCAGCAGCCGCGGUAAUACGGAGGAUCCGAGCGUUAUCCGGAUUUAUUGGGUUUAAAGGGAGCGUAGGUGGGUUGGUAAGUCAGUUGUGAAAGUUUGCGGCUCAACCGUAGAAUUGCAGUUGAAACUGGCAGUCUUGAGUAGAGUAGAGGUGGGCGGAAUGCGUGGUGUAGCGGUGAAAUGCUUAGAUAUCGCGAAGAACUCCGAUUGCGAAGGCAGUUCACUGGACUGCAACUGACACUGAGGCUCGAAAGUGUGGGUAUCAAACAGGAUUAGAUACCCCAGCAGUC